AUUGAACGCUGGCGGCAGGCUUAACACAUGCAAGUCGAGCGGGGGAAGGUAGCUUGCUACCGGACCUAGCGGCGGACGGGUGAGUAAUGCUUAGGAAUCUGCCUAUUAGUGGGGGACAACAUCUCGAAAGGGAUGCUAAUACCGCAUACGUCCUAUGGGAGAAAGCAGGGGAUCUUCGGACCUUGCGCUAAUAGAUGAGCCUAAGUCGGCUUAGCUAGUUGGUGGGGUAAAGGCCUACCAAGGCGACGAUCUGUAGCGGGUCUGAGAGGAUGAUCCGCCGCACUGGGACUGCGACACGGCCCAGACUCCGACGGGAGGCAGCAGUGGGGAAGAUUGGACAAUGGGGGGAACCCUGAGCCAGCCAUGCCGCGUGUGUGAAGAAGGCCUUAUGGUUGUAAAGCACUUUAAGCGAGGAGGAGGCUACUUUAGUUAAUACCUAGAGAUAGUGGACGUUACUCGCAGAAUAAGCACCGGCUAACUCUGUGCCAGCCGCCGCCGUAAGAC
rnacentral:rRNA from 1 species